rnacentral:rRNA from 1 species
UAUCCUACGGGGGGCAGCAGCGGGGAAUAUUGCACAAUGGGGGAAACCCUGAUGCAGCGACGCCGCGUGAAGGAAGAAGUAUUGCGGUAUGUAAACUGCUAUCAGCAGGGAAGAAAGAAAUGACGGUACCUGACUAAGAAGCCCCGGCUAACUACGUGCCAGCAGCCGCGGUAAUACGUAGGGGGCAAGCGUUAUCCGGAUUUACUGGGUGUAAAGGGAGCGUAGACGGCGAUGCAAGUCUGAAGUGAAAGGCGGGGGCCCAACCCCCGGACUGCUUUGGCAACUGUAUAGCUGGAGUGCAGGAG